UACGUAGGGUGCAAGCGUUAAUCGGAAUUACUGGGCGUAAAGCGUGCGCAGGCGGUUUUGUAAGACCGAUGUGAAAUCCCCGGGCUUAACCUGGGAACUGCAUUGGUGACUGCAAGGCUUGAGUGUGUCAGAGGGAGGUGGAAUUCCGCGUGUAGCAGUGAAAUGCGUAGAUAUCUGGAGGAACACCGGUGGCGAAGGCGGCAUCCUGGACCGGCAUUGACGCUGAGGCGCGAAAGCCAGGGGAGCAAACGGG
rnacentral:rRNA from 1 species